CUCAUUGUCCCCGCCCCUUGCUCUGUUUUCUUCCAGCUGCCGGACCAGCGGGCCUGCCGCCUCUACGGACCAGUCCCUGCUCAGGUGUCACUUUUGCUGGCAGGCCGAGAUUAGGGCAGGAGAGUGGGCAAGGCGUCGCGGCCAGGAGGAGAAGGGCUCUACCACGCCACCCUCCUUUGGCCUCCGAACGCGGACCCCGCACACACACACCCGCGCCUCUUUGGCAAGCGUGCCUUGUCGGCUGGGUUAAGCCGCAGUGCGUGCACACCGAGCGGCGGGGCGCUGUGGAACGCGGGAGCGGACUAGCGGAGGAGGAUGCGGACCAAGCCCCAGCGACCCAGGGCAACUCGGAGCUACCUCGGGCAGCCCUGCGGGUCUCCGAGGAGAACCGAGGAGACGGGAGAAACAUGGGAGAGGGUGGCCUUUUCCCUGUUCACACACACAUGCACGCAGCCACUGGCCGGGACAGUUGACACCCAUCUUCCUUCCCUGCUCCUUCCAGUCAUUCUACACCCGCUUGGUGCUGCCAGUGCGGGCAGGGCCUUGGAGCCCAAAGCGGAUCCCCACACUUGUCCCUACGGUCGGAAGGAAAGUAGAGGAGAGAAAGUCAGGCGCGGCAGGGCUAAGAGCAAUAGUGGCCCAAAUGUUCCUGGCCCGCCUGCUGCGCCACAGAGUCUGAAAAGCGGGUCUCCGUCUACCAGAAGGUGACCUCCACACAGCCCCUCUCCCCGACCAACUGCAGCACCCAAGGACUGGCAACGUGGUUGGAGCUUUUGGGGGGAAUUAUGAAGAAAUCUGAAUAAAUUUCUCACCCUUCAUGUU
rnacentral:lncRNA from 1 species